rnacentral:rRNA from 1 species
AUACGGAGGGUGCAAGCGUUACUCGGAAUCACUGGGCGUGAAGCGCGCGCAGGCGGCUAUUUAAGUUGGAUGUGAAAGCCUACGGCUCAACCGUAGAACUGCAUCCAAAACUAUUUAGCUAGAGUGUGGGAGAGGAAGAUGGAAUUAGUUGUGUAGGGGUAAAAUCCGUAGAGAUAACUAGGAAUACCAAAAGCGAAGGCAAUCUUCUGGAACACUACUGACGCUGAGGCGCGAAAGCGUGGGGAGCAAACAGGAUUAGAAACCCUAGUAGUCC